UCUUUUCCAGCAGGAACCCUUUUCUCUUUUUUUUGUUUUUUUUCGUUUAAGAAUUUAGAAUUUACCACAAAAUUCAAACCUUUGCUGGUUGUACAGGAACCGCCGGCAGCUGUGACUCCGGGUCCUUUUGAGGACUGCAAAUGGGCGUAUAAUGCUGCUUGAUGGUGGGAUAGCAGCAGCUGCAAAGUCAGGCAGGCAUUCCCCCUUUUGUGCAUGGGUUUUAGUUUACAACCCGAAGCUCCAGUCCUGCAUAGACCCCCCUGCACAGAGCCGGCUGCUUGGAUAGGUCCUAAAUUCAAAUGAGGGCUAUAAAUAGAUAAAAAGGAGAAAAGAAAGACAACGCAUAGCAAGAACUCCCACCGUGACCUAGCAGAGCAUGUAUACACCUUGCUGGCUCUUGCAUUUGGGUUCUGUGUCGAAGAAAGGUUAAACUCGCUUCUCAUAGGUGGGGAAGCAAGGGGCAUUUAGCUUAAAGCAGAGAUGCAGCACGGCAGCACCGGUACCGAAAAUGCUCCCUCCACACCGGGAGAAUGGAAAGCACGGUGGGUUGAGUAGAUGCCACGGAAAAGCUCGAUGGGAUGGGAAGAUUUGUCAAACGAAACAUGCCCAAACAGAGGUAGUUCGGAGGUGAAUGAUUCAGAGCCUUGAAAGCAAGAACGAGCAACUUCAACAUAAUAUGCUGUGCCACGGGGACCCGGCGCAGGGAGUCAGACCAGGGUGAUGUGAGCAGCGUAAGAGAAGGAUGCAGGUUUGGUGCCAGCCUCUGAUGGGGGAGCGGGGCAGGCAAGGCAGGAAGGCAGGACUGGGGAGGAGAAAGCUGCAGAUACUUAGGCCAUAAACACGGCAGCUCAGUGUUGUUUGGGAAGAAGAGGCAGAGUUUUAAUUAUUGUGCAGGGAAAAAACCAAACAGACCAGGAUUAGUAAGUUCCUAGAUAUAGAAAAUAAAUUGUGUCUGAACAAAAUCACUGAAUUAAAAUACACGCGUGUCCAGACGCACGUCCUGGAUUGUUCUCAGUUUUGAGAGAAGCCCGUCACGUUACCCAGCGCGUAGCGAGGGUGGGGCGAGCAGGGCCUGGCCUCCUGUAUGUCUCUCCCCAUUAAGCUGCAUCUGCUCCAUCUGCGCUGAGCCCAAGAAUGCAUGCUUGAGUAAAAUAUUUUUACCAGAAAAAUAUCCAGUCUGGAUGUGAUGACCUCAGUAGGAAGAGAAUCUACCACUUCCCUUGCUCGUUUUUUCCCAGCGGUUAGUCACCCCCCUGGUAAGAGUCGCACCUUAUUUUCAACUUGCAUUUGUCUAGCUCCGGCUUUCAGCCACGGGUCUGUAUUUUUCUCCGCUACGUUAAAGUGCUCUUUAGCAUCCCAUAUUCUCUCUCAGGAUCAUACUUAGUCACUGUAAUCAAGUCACCUCUCCAAUCUUCGUUUUCAUAGGCUAAACACUUGUGCCCUGUAAAGCUCUCAAUAUAAGACAAUUUCUUUAGGCCUCUAAUUAUUCUUGUGACUCUUCUUUCAUCCUCUCCAACUCUUCAACAUCCUUUUAAAUAUAAAGACCCUAGAACAGCAGACACUUUCCCAGUAAUUGUAUUAGCAGUGCAGCAUGCAGAUGUGAAGUCACCGCUCUGCUGCAAGUCACGAUUCCCCAGGCCUGUAAAUAAGUCAGGGCAAGGAGGAAGGCAGGGUGUCACUGUUCACCCCCAGUCAAUUCCUCCCCCCCAUAGAAAUAAUAUGUAAUCCAGGUUUUUCUAGUCUAGCUUCUUAGUCUGAUUCUCCUCAGAUGAGUGUCUCGGUGGGCGUGUCUACAUGAGAUGUUUUACUGCACAGCACACUAAUCUGUUGCACAGUAAAGCAUCACAGCCCACACAUGCAGGUGCAUACUGCACAGUAAAUUAGUCUACUGCACAGUAAAUUUACUACCUGCUUUUGCAUCUACAUUUAUUGCACAGUAAAGCUAAAUGGCAUUCAUUGCACGUGUAGACGUGCCCAGUGUUAGGGCCACAGAAUAGUAGUCAAGGUCACAAUCCUGGUAGCUAGCGAGUACAGGUAGUGUAUGUGUGUGUGUGUGUGUGUGUCACUGACUGUUUCAGGCAAGUGAGGUGGAGAGAUGGCAUUACUUUGCUGCUCUAAUAAAAGGCGUGUAAUCCUAUUAAGAAAGCGUCUGCAGAAGCCUGCAGUGUGCAGAGCUACAAAGAGUGGUUUUAUUCUGGCGCUGCUGUGAACAAACCCUGCCUCCCUUUUUAGAGGAAAAAGGGGAAGGAGAAUGUAGUAAUACCUGCAAUACAUGCAGGGUUUGAAACACCAGACUCUUUUAAUAAACCCGUGGUUCUCAACCUUUUUAGACGCAAGGCACCGCUCACUAGACUUGGAAAAUGCCAGCUCUGAGUUUUCAUUUGAUUUUUAGUCUCCAGAAAAAUACCAGAGCGAUUCUUCUUUUGCAAAGAGCACAGACAGACAGCCCACAGCCGGGCAGGGUGGUUUUAACACUCUGGAUUCAUUCCUAUUUGAAAUCUCUGCAUUUAUCCUGUGAAUCAUGCUCGCACACCUAGCACCGCGUAGCACCCUGCAACACCCCCGAAGGGAUCGCAAGGUGCCCCAGGAGGCCACAACACCCUGGCUGAGAAUCACUGUAAUAAAUAUUAGACUCUACUUGACUUGUGACUUACACUAUGUACGUACAAGGGCGGUUGUCUCUGCCUACGCACUUUUCUCUGUCAAGUCUUUGUUCUAGGUCAUGUUUCCCCCAUGCAAAACUCUCUGAUGCUUUUGUUCCAGCUCCAAAGCUCCUGAGAUGAAGGGUGUCUGAACAGGGCGCGUCCAGCAUGAUCCUUCCCCUGCCAGACCCUCCAUGGCAGGCACCGUCCUUGGCUCCUAGGUGUCAGAGGAUACAUCCCUGACAGGUGCCACAACUGCUGCUUUGGUGUUCUUACCAACUGAAAGAAUCGGGCAUGAAGUGAGCAUCACAUAUGAAGGCCAGCACCUGGAAAGACUCGUGGAAAGAAUAUGUGCAGGGACUUGAAAAUCUUGAAAAUAACCUCUAUGGUCGGGGAGAGAUUCGAAGUCUGUAUUUUGUCAUGGCUAUGGCAGUCUGUCCAUUGAAACUAGAGGGCUGUUGGAGGCACAGAAUAAUCUAACUUUGUUCUUCAAAAUCAUUUCUCAUAAACUCGGCUAAGAAGUUUGUGCUCCUGCGAACAAUUAACGUCAAAGGAACUAAUUAGUGUACUUUGCUAGGAGUGUCAUGUUGAUU